CCCUACGGGACGCAGCAGUGAGGAAUAUUGGUCAAUGGUCGGGAGACUGAACCAGCCAAGCCGCGUGAGGGAUGAAGGUACAGAGUAUCGUAAACCUCUUUUGUCAGGGAACAAAGGCGGGGACGUGUCCCCGGAUGAGUGUACCUGAAGAAAAAGCAUCGGCUAACUCCGUGCCAGCAGCCGCGGUAAUACGGAGGAUGCGAGCGUUAUCCGGAUUUAUUGGGUUUAAAGAGUGCGCAGGCGGUCUGUUAAGUCAGCGGUCAAAGCCCGGGGCUCAACCCCGGCCCGCCGCUGAAACUGGCCGU
rnacentral:rRNA from 1 species